rnacentral:rRNA from 1 species
UACGAAGGGGGCUAGCGUUGUUCGGAAUCACUGGGCGUAAAGCGCACGAAGGCGGAUCGUUAAGUCAGGGGUGAAAUCCCGAGGCUCAACCUCGGAGCUGCCUUUGAUACUGGCGAUCUUUGAGUCCGGGAGAGGUGAGUGGAACUCCGAGUGUAGAGGUGAAAUUCGUAGAUAUUCGGAAGAACACCAGUGGCGAAGGCGGCUCACUGGCCCGGUACUGACGCUCAUGUGCGAAAGCGUGGGGAGCAAACAGG